ACCAGACUCCUACGGGAGGCAGCAGUGGGGGAUAUUGCACAAUGGGGGGAACCCUGAUGCAGCGACGCCGCGUGGGUGAAGAAGCGCCUCGGCGCGUAAAGCCCUGUCAGCAGGGAAGAAAAUGACGGUACCUGAAGAAGAAGCCCCGGCUAACUACGUGCCGGCAGCCGCGGUAAUACGUAGGGGGCAAGCGUUAUCCGGAUUUACUGGGUGUAAAGGGGGCGCAGACGGCGAUGCAAGCCAGGAGUGAAAGCCCGGGGCCCAACCCCGGGACUGCUCUUGGAACUGCGUGGCUGGAGUGCAGGAGGGGCAGGCGGAAUUCCUGGUGUAGCGGUGAAAUGCGUAGAUAUCAGGAGGAACACCGGUGGCGAAGGCGGCCUGCUGGACUGCAACUGACGUUGAGGCCCGAAAGCGUGGGGAGCAAACAGGAUUAGAUACCCGCGUAGA
rnacentral:rRNA from 1 species